AACAACACGGCCAAGGGCAGUGCCGGCAGGUCGGGGGCUGUCACAAGAUGGGAAGUCUCACUGUGGAAAACGCGGGGGGCUGGGAGGCCACAGUGAAGGUGGUGCUGAGCGUGGCCCUGCCCGCUCUCCUCCAGGGCAUCAGCUUUUCCGAGUGGCAGGCAGUGAGUCGCCCCUCGGAAGUGGCUGAGCCGCUGCAGGCGGAGGAAGUAGACGGGUGAUUCAGUGAGUGUCGGCUUCCUCUCUGACUCGGGGUUGAAUCCGCUUCAUAGGGUGGUGCCAGGGGCCCAUGUGGCUUUAGCUAGCUUCUUUGAACUUGGAGUCAAAACGGAGGCUCUGACCCCUGUGGUUGCUGGCCCUCCUUUGACCCUUUCAGAUACUUGCCUCUGCCCCUGAGAACAUGGUCAGGAAAGGGCUGACUUGGUGAAGACCGACGUCUCAAAACUGCGACAGGGCCUCUGUGUUCCGUGCCCCAGUAACCUGGCACGCUGGUCUUCUUCCAGACAAGUGACCACAUUCCAGGGAUGGACGGAGGGCUUGCACAGUGAGAGUGUCACAAAGCUGCCACAUGAGGGGCCCCUCCUGCCCGCUUCCUCCUGCAGAGCCUCCCUCGGCCGGCCCUCGUCCCUGCCCUCUUCCUCUUUUCGCGCCGUGUGUUGCCACACAGGAUCCCCCACUUGAGGAGACUGGAGGUGUGCCCUGCCCCGGGGGGUUGGCUGCCCUUUAAGUGAGUGACUGCUGAACAACUGGGGUUUCAAAGCCCAAAGAAACGGUCUUCUAGGGCUUGACUAGAGCUGAGGGCUUCCACCUGGGCAGACGGGUCUGCUUUGCUUGCUCAGAGGACCAGGCCAGUGGUCGGCCUGCUCCCAGUCCAGUGUCUCCAAGUCUUCCUUCCUUGGUGUGUGUCUGGUGUGAGGCAGGUGCCCUUUCCCUCUCCAGCCAAGGCCACUGUGUCGCUCAGCGUGGCUAGGAUGUAUGUCGCUGCCAGUGGAGCCUGGCUCGGGCUCCUGGUGCUAUCUCUCUGCCGCUCCCGCCCCGCCCCAGAACUGUAUUGAUCAGCUAGCAGAUAAGAAAAGGCAGCUCUGUGUGCUUCCAAACCCAUCCCCUCUCCCCCCAUACUUUGCUUUCAUAAAUAUUGGUUACCAUGCAUGUGUUUUCCAUGACCUGGUGACUUCCGGCUGCUCUAGCCAAUGGAGUCGGAGCUGUGAUACUCAGAUAAAAGGCUUCAUGGGCAUGACUCAUUCUUGGAGACACUGAACCUGCCUGGCUGUUGUUAAGUGCCUGGUUCUGUAAAUAUUGACAGUUAGAAACCAUCCUAAGAGCUACCAGGCAAUGAUCUGGAAGGUAAGGGGCAUGAAUACGACCAGCGAGGAGGCAACGCUCCUCCUUUGCUAAGAUGCAGCCACUGAUGAAUAUCAGCCCAUUAUCUCUCCUCCCAACAGUGGCUCGACCGCUUGCACGGGACUCACGGUUGGUAGGUGACAGGGUCUGAUUUGGCAAGAACAGUCUGGUCUGCUUCAACAGAGAACAAAUGGCUUCCCAGGCCCCUCCAGGCUCCAGGUUCCCUGCUUCUUAACAAGCGUGGUUUUGCCAACGAGGAAUUGCUCCAAAGCAGUUGCCAUCGCUGACAAACUGAAGAAGGCACAGAGGACUGAGGGGCAGAACAGCGCCUCCCACCGUUCCGAGCCAACGUUGUCACCCCCGCCUGUCCCGUGGGCACGUUUAUGUUACAGCUCACCUGUGGGCACACCUCCACCAGGGGCGGCCUCUGCAGUCAAGUCAUUGCCCUUGGGCUGGCGGGCACCAUUCUCCAAGGAGGGAGAAGGCGCAUCUCUGCUGGUGCAGAAAUGGGUUUUAUCUCUCACUCUCCCUUUCCAACACUUAGAAUAAGUGUAUCAUUACCCAAAUGUACACGAUGCCUUCCGACGGGUUGGCUGUUUGGUUUACUGAGUGUUAUUUUGGGGCAGGAACUUCCCAUCUGAGUCACAGUUUUUUUGAAUGGCCCUAGUCUAUUUCCUACAUGGCUCUGUGCACAGGGUUCGUCUGGCCAAAUCAGAACUUUUCAGCUGGCAGGUUUCGAACUCGAGUCUUUGGCAGACUGGUAUGCUGGCCGACAGCGUUGCCCUUGGUCGAGGGGGCAUGCGCAUGUCUGUAGCCCUCGGCAAAAUCUCUUGGCGUUUACUGUGUUGCCAUGGUGAGAUCUGAGCCCCACUGGCACCAACUCGCCAGGAGGCCGCGCAGCCUGAGCAUGCAGGGGAGCAGCUGUGACCUCCACGGGAGCCCUCUCUGCCAUGACCUGGCUGUGUGACUCCGGGCAAGUUACUUAAGUGCUCUGAGCCUCAGAUUCCUUAUUUGUCGAAUGAGGAUAACAGUUCCUAUCUUGCAAGGCUAGUGUGAAUCGGAAUAAAGCAUUUAACACACGUGAA